UACGAACUGUGCGAACGUUAUUCGGAAUCACUGGGCUUACAGGGUGCGUAGGUGGCCGGACAAGUCAGGUGUGAAAUUCCUCAGCUCAACUGAGGAGGGUCACGCGAUACUGAUCGACUCGAAGGCAGGAGAGGGUAGUGGAAUUCCCGGUGUAGUGGUGAAAUGCGUAGAUAUCGGGAGGAACACCAGUGGCGAAGGCGACUACCUGGCCUGUUCUUGACGCUGAGGCGCGAAAGCUAGGGGAGCAAACGGG
rnacentral:rRNA from 1 species